rnacentral:lncRNA from 1 species
UGUAAUCGAGUCUGUGAUAGAGUCUGUAAUCGAGUUUGGAGCACUUUGAAAGGAUGUUAAUCCUGCCGCCAUUUUCAUUUCCGCUUUGCAAUUUAUUCAACCCUCCGAUCGGAGCAGGUUUUUAUUACUUGUCUUUAUCUUAUUUAUUUUCCCGCACUCGCUUUAUAUUAUUUAUUUCCUCGCACUCGCUUUACUUUCAUUUAUUUCCUCGCACUCGCUUUAAA